rnacentral:rRNA from 1 species
AACGAACGCUGGCGGCAUGCCUAACACAUGCAAGUCGAACGAGACCUUCGGGUCUAGUGGCGCACGGGUGCGUAACGCGUGGGAACCUGCCCUUAGGUUCGGAAUAACUCCCCGAAAGGGGUGCUAAUACCGGAUAAUGUCUUCGGACCAAAGAUUUAUCGCCUUUGGAUGGGCCCGCGUUGGAUUAGCUAGUUGGUAGGGUAAAAGCCUACCAAGGCGACGAUCCAUAGCUGGUCCGAGAGGAUGAUCAGCCACACUGGGACUGAGACACGGCCCAGACUCCUACGGGAGGCAGCAGUGGGGAAUAUUGGACAAUGGGCGAAAGCCUGAUCCAGCAAUGCCGCGUGAGUGAUGAAGGCCGUAGGGUUGUAAAGCUCUUUUACCCGGGAUGAUAAUGACGGUACCGGGAGAAUAAGCUCCGGCUAACUCCGUG